AGAAACCAACAGGGAUUCCCCUAGUAGCGGCGAGCGAACGGGGAUCAAGCCCAGCGCCGAAUCCCGCGUCGUUGCGACGCUUGGGAAAUGUGGCGUUUGGGGGAGGGUUCUUCUGGCGUGCAGAGAAGCUGCGAGUUCCUCUGACUGGGACGUUAUUCCCGGAGCGGGUGCAAGGCCCGUGGCAGCUUUCUCUGUCGUCGGUUGCCCAUAUUUUCCCCUUCAAGAGUCGGGUUGCUUGAGAGUGCAACCCUAAGUAGGUGGUAAGCUCCACCUAAGGCUAAAUACCGCUGCGAAACCGAUAGCAAACAAGUACCGUGAGGGAAAGUUG
rnacentral:rRNA from 1 species